rnacentral:rRNA from 1 species
GUGCACCAGGCGAGAAAACUUCACACUGUGCGAAAGCACGAUGAGGGAAUCCCAAGUGCUUGCACGUAAGUGUAAGCUGUUUCUCUGUCUAAAACGCAGAGAGAGUAAGGGCUGGGUAAGACGGGUGCCAGCCGCCGCGGGUAAUACCUGCAGCUCAAGUGGUGACCGUUAUUAUUGGGCCUAAAACGUCCGUAGCCGGUUUAAUAAAAUGCCUGGGUAAAUUGUGUAGCUUAACUAUACGAAUUCCGGGUAGACUGUUAAAACUUGAGACCGGGAGAAGUUAGAGGUACUCCUGGGGUAGAGGUGAAAUUCUGUAAUCCUAGGGGGACCACCAGUGGCGAAGGCGUCUAACUAGAACGGGUCUGACGGUGAGGGACGAAGCCCUGGGGCGCAAACGGGGAUUAGAUACCCGUGUAGU